rnacentral:rRNA from 1 species
GGGGAAUUUUCCGCAAUGGGCGAAAGCCUGACGGAGCAACGCCGCGUGAGGGAUGAAGGCCUCUGGGCUGUAAACCUCUUUUCUCAAGGAAGAAGAUCUGACGGUACUUGAGGAAUAAGCCACGGCUAAUUCCGUGCCAGCAGCCGCGGUAAUACGGGAGUGGCAAGCGUUAUCCGGAAUUAUUGGGCGUAAAGCGUCCGCAGGCGGCCUCGAAAGUCUGUCGUUAAAGCGUGGAGCUUAACUCCAUUUAAGCGGUGGAAACUACGAGGCUAGAGUGUGGUAGGGGCAGAGGGAAUUCCCGGUGUAGCGGUGAAAUGCGUARAUAUCGGGAAGAAC